UACGGAGGGUGCAAGCGUUAUCCGGAUUCACUGGGUUUAAAGGGUGCGUAGGAGGGCAGGUAAGUCAGUGGUGAAAUCUCCAAGCUUAACUUGGAACUGCCGUUGAUACUAUCUGUCUUGAAUACCGUGGAGGUGAGCGGAAUAUGUCAUGUAGCGGUGAAAUGCUUAGAUAUGACAUAGAACACCAAUUGCGAAGGCAGCUCACUACACGAAAUAUUGACUCUGAGGCACGAAAGCGUGGGGAUCAAACAGG
rnacentral:rRNA from 1 species